GACGAACGCUGGCGGCGUGCUUAACACAUGCAAGUCGAACGGAAAGGCCCUGCUUUUGUGGGGUUCUCGAGUGGCGAACGGGUGAGUAACACGUGAGUAACCUGCCCUUGACUUUGGGAUAACUUCAGGAAACUGGGGCUAAUACCGGAUAGGAGCUCCUGCUGCAUGGUGGGGGUGGGAAAUUUUCGGCGGUCGGGGAUGGACGCGCGGCUGAUCAGCUUGUUGGUGGGGUAGUGGCUUACCAAGGCUUUGACGGGUAGCCGGCCUGAGAGGGUGACCGGCCACAUUGGGACUGCGAUACGGACCAGACUCCUACGGGAGGCAGCAGUGGGGAAUAUUGCACAAUGGGAGGAAGCCUGAUGAAGCAACGUCGCGUGCGGGAUGACGGCCUUCGGGUUGUAAACCGCUUUAGCCUGUGACGAAGCGUGAGUGACGGUAAUGGGUAAAGAAGCACCGGCUAACUACGUG
rnacentral:rRNA from 1 species